CCUACGGGGGGCAGCAGUGAGGAAUAUUGGUCAAUGGACGGAAGUCUGAACCAGCCAUGCCGCGUGCAGGAAGACGGCUCUAUGAGUUGUAAACUGCUUUUGUACAAGGGUAAACCUGAAUACGUGUAUUCAGCUGAAAGUACUGUACGAAUAAGGAUCGGCUAACUCCGUGCCAGCAGCCGCGGUAAUACGGAGGAUCCAAGCGUUAUCCGGAUUUAUUGGGUUUAAAGGGUGCUUAGGCGGAUUGAUAAGUUAGAGGUGAAAUGUCCGAGCUUAACUCGGGAACUGCCUCUAAUACUGUUGAUCUAGAGAAUAGAUGCGGUAGGCGGAAUGUAUGGUGUAGCGGUGAAAUGCUUAGAGAUCAUACAGAACACCGAUUGCGAAGGCAGCUUACCAAUCUAUAUCUGACGUUGAGGCACGAAAGCGUGGGGAGUAAACAGGAUUAGAUACCCGAGUAGUC
rnacentral:rRNA from 1 species